rnacentral:rRNA from 1 species
GACGAACGCUGGCGGCGUGCUUAACACAUGCAAGUCGAACGGAAAGGCCCUGCUUUUGUGGGGUGCUCGAGUGGCGAACGGGUGAGUAACACGUGAGUAACCUGCCCUUGACUUUGGGAUAACUUCAGGAAAAUGGGGCUAAUACCGGAUAGGAGCUCCUGCUGCAUGGUGGGGGAUGGUAAGAUUCGGCGGUUGGGGAUGGACUGGCGGCUUCUCAGCUUGUUGGUGAAGUAGUGGCUUACCAAGGCUUCGACGGGUAGCCGGCCUGAGAGGGUGGCCAGCGUCACUGGGACUGAGGUACGGCCCAGACUCGAACGGGAGGCAACGGUGGGAAACAUUGCGCAAUGGGCGGGAGCGAGUGGUGGCGGUCCCGCGUUCGGGAAAAUGUCCUAUUGGUUGAAAACCAAUUUGUCAUGUGCCGAAGCGUGAGUGACGGUAACGAAUAAGGAAGCAACGGCUAACUACGUG